rnacentral:rRNA from 1 species
CAAUAGCGUAUAUUAAAGCUGUUGCGGUUAAAAAGCUCGUAGUUGGAUUUCUGUCAAGGACAACUGGUCCGCCCUCCGGGUGAGCACAUAGUUUGGUCUUGACAUCUUGCUGGAAGCUGUUGCUGCACUUGGCUGUGUGGCGCAGUGUUCAGCACUUUCACUUUGAGGAAAUUGGAGUGUUUCAAGCAGGCACAUGCCUUUGGACACAGUAGCAUGGAAUAAUUAGAUUGGGCUUUUGCUCCAAUUUGUCGGUUUCUGGAGCUGAGGUGAGUAUUAAUGGGGAUUGUUGGGGGCAUCCGAAUUUAGCCGUCAGAGGUGAAAUUCUUGGAUCUGCUAAAGACGGACAACUGCGGAAGCGUUUGCCCAGGAUGUUUUCAUUGA